UUUCCGUAGGUGAGCCUGCGGAAGGAUCAUUACUGAGUGAGGGCCCCUCGGGGUCCAUCCUCCCACCCGUGUUUAACGAACCUUGUUGCUUCGGCGGGCCCGCCUCCCCGCCGACCGGGGGCUCCUGCCCCCGGGCCCGCGCCCGCCGAAGCCGCCUGUGAACGCUGUCUGAAGUAUGCAGUCUGAGACAAUUAUUAAAUUAAUUAAAACUUUCAACAACGGAUCUCUUGGUUCCG
rnacentral:misc_RNA from 1 species